UGUGAAGAGCCACAUUCUCAUUUGUUUGGUACUAGACAGAGCUCUGCAGGGAAAAGGUGUGCAAAGCUUGAAGAAGCCCUGGACUGUAUGCAAAGCUAAGUGGUUCGCCUGCUGAAUGUUUCUGUCUGGGACUGAUACAGCUGUUUGUAGAUCCUAGGUAACUGUCCCAAAUUAUGGGCUAUGUGGGACAUACAUGGGAAGGUUGUUUUGGGGACCUGAGGUGGAAGAAUAUUUGAUGCCAUGUUGUAUGGGGCAGAGAAGCAUACUGGAAAGACCUCCUUAUUGCUCUGAAGCAGAAUAACUUGCAGGUAGGUUUGAGUCAGGAGAGAAAGUCAACAAGGGAUUAGGAGCAUAAAGAACUUUCAAGGAGAAAGCUGCCAUGUGGUGUGGAGCCAACCUUCAGCAUUCAAGACAUAAACCUUCUGCAAAGCAGGAACUCUAAAAUGGCAGCCAAAGGGGAACUGAACAAGACUGCCAAGUCUGAAAGAGUUCUUGGUUGCACAGAAGGAAACCUAAUGACAGGGCCUCCAGGAAAGAGAGUUCACUGUCGUUCCGAAAGGCUGAAAUAAAUCUCCAGUUCUCAUUCUGUGAUGAUAGUGUGCAACAGUAUUUCUGAUGAAGAAAGAUUUUCCUUCUUUGUUCAUUCCAGGUUACCCUCCUCUUUUCCUCUCACACAUGGACAAAUGGAAGAAUCAUCAAUGUCUUUAACUUUUCCAAAAUCUCAUGGGAAAUGUAGGAUACAGCUAGCAAUAAAAACUUGAUAUAAGAAAUAAUAUCAGUUGAAAUUAUUUAUUUUAUGAUGAGAGUACAACCCAUAUUACUUUCAUUUUUAAAAGGCCACCUCCGUUUCACAAUGUGCUAGAAAAAUUUCAGUAAGUGGAUAAGAUUCAUCAUUAAUGAUUCUUGAACUGAAUUGCCUUUGGACUAACAAAUGACUUAAUCUUUUCCACUGGACUUUAUUAGAGGAAUGGGAACUUUUGGU